rnacentral:lncRNA from 1 species
CAAGAGGAAUCCACAUUGAUUUGUAGUAAUCCACAUUGGAACCAAAAAAAGAUAAAUGUACGCCUUUUGAGAUAGAUUGGACGGCUCAAGCUCACGGGUUUUGCAAACAAGAAUUUGACCCAAUGAGUACAAGAGGAAUUCACGGCUUUUGUAAUUCACGGGUUUUGAAAGAAGAAUCUCACGCCCACAGGAUGCAAAACCCGACGAUUGACCUCACGACCGAGGUUGGUUAUUUUCUGAAGCAGUUUUUACAUUUAAUCAUUUUUUUACUUAAUACUAAUAUUAAAAUAUGUGCAGGUUGUUGAUAUGUACAUGAUGACGUUGAGGCAUAGGUUGAUGGCGCAUGCUGACUUGAUAGAUGGGAUUGAUGACAGGACCCUGUCAUAUUGGAUACAGAAUUCUUCGUAAGCAUUAAUUAUUCUGCGCUUACAAUCAAAUAUUCCAUUAAUAUAAUGGUUUUUUUUUAAACAGAUAUAUUUGGAAAAGGAAUUCAAGAUCCUCAUGGAUGCUGCUCGUGCAAUGUUCCCCGAUAAGAAAGAAACAAGGAUUUUGGAAAGUGACAUGCCUUAUCGUAACUGGCUCCCGCACCCCAACCGCUUGUAUGCAGUGUAUGGCCAACGAACCUCGUCGACUCAAAAUGAUUGGAUGGAUGCCACACAGGUACUCAUAUAUGCCUACAUUAUAAAUGCUUUCGAAGCUGUUGAUCAAUGAAGUGUUAACCAUUUGUAUUUGCAUGGCAGUCAUUAUGCCUAUAUUGAUAGACGACCGUUUCAUUACCUGUAGAGUGGAUAUGCUCACGGGUAACUGUGACGUCUUCGACGCUCAGUGGUUCAAAACGUUGGCCAACCGCGCCGGACCCAGCUGAUCCAACUGAAGCGCUGCAAUGCCUUUUUAGUAGGCUGCUUGACGUGGCUUACUGGUUUGAGAGGACGAGGAUUGUCCAUAACCCAAUAGAGAACCUCAGCUGGCGUAAAUUGAACAUCCGCUACGCCGAUAUGACUGAAGUGUUUCACCAGCCUGACCAGUGCAGCUCUGGUGUCUAUGCGUGCAUGUCUGUGGAGCAUUUGAUUUCAGGGUCGCCGAGCAUUACGUGGGGCGAUCAGCAUGCCACUGACUAUAGGCGCAAGAUAGGCAGUAGCAUCUACGAGUUUUGCGUACCAUAGAUAGUUGAUUAUGUAGUUUUGACAUUUUUAUGACUAUUUUAUGAAAAAACAAUCCUA